rnacentral:rRNA from 1 species
GAUGAACGCUGGCGGCGUGCCUAAUACAUGCAAGUCGAGCGAACGGACGAGAAGCUUGCUUCUCUGAUGUUAGCGGCGGACGGGUGAGUAACACGUGGAUAACCUACCUAUAAGACUGGGAUAACUUCGGGAAACCGGAGCUAAUACCGGAUAAUAUUUUGAACCGCAUGGUUCAAAAGUGAAAGACGGUCUUGCUGUCACUUAUAGAUGGAUCCGCGCUGCAUUAGCUAGUUGGUAAGGUAACGGCUUACCAAGGCAACGAUGCAUAGCCGACCUGAGAGGGUGAUCGGCCACACUGGAACUGAGACACGGUCCAGACUCCUACGGGAGGCAGCAGUAGGGAAUCUUCCGCAAUGGGCGAAAGCCUAACGGAGCAACGCCGCGUGAGUUAUGAAGGUCUUCGGAUCGUAGAACUCUGUUAUUAGGGAAGAACAUAUGUGUAAGUAACUGUGCACAUCUUGACGGUACCUAAUCAGAAAGCCACGGCUAACUACGUG